rnacentral:lncRNA from 1 species
UCACUAACUGAAAACACUAUCCAUUCCAGAACAGUACUAAUCAUGUCAAACAAAUCUAGGUAUACAUUCAGAUGCAAUGAAGGAUGAAUACAUCAAUAUAAAUAGAGUGUAUUUAGAUUAAAUGAAUCUGAAACUAUCACGUUUCUAUUCAUCUUCAUUUCAAAUCAACAAUAGUACAACGAAAUAGGAGCAAAUACCUGGAAGUUAGAAUGCAAACAGAAGAAGAAGAAGAGAUCAGCAACAAUUAACAAAACUAGAAUCCAGUCACAAAUCAGCAGCAACACAACAAUUUUUUGAACCAAAACAGCUUCACAAAAUCCAGAACCACACUACAGAGGUAAAGCACAAAAAAAUGACCCAAAACAACUCGAUUGAACCCAAAACCCACUCGAAAUCAAACCCAGUGAUUCUCUGAAACUUCAGCAACCAGAAGAGAUGAGAAGCAAUGCCUAGAACUCAAAAUUAACCUAGAAAAUGCAAUCUAACAGUAUUUUUGGCUUUUCUACUGUAUUUUUGUUUGUUUUUUAAAUUUUUGGCAGAAAAAUAGAUCUAAAGGAAGGUUUGAACUAUAAGAGUUCAGAUUUUGAACUUCUUUGGAUAUGAAAUUCAAAAUUUGAGGCUCAGAUUUGCAGGAAUGGUUUUGGGGGGAAUUUUGGAGGCUGAAACUUGUGAAUUAAGGCAGAAUGUGCUGCCUUUUAUAGGCAAAGCUUAAAGAAAACUUUAGAUCUCAUUUUUUCCAUCUUAGGCCCUCUUUAUUAUUCAAUUUUACUAUUUAGUCCCUUAUUUUUGGACUUGUUACUCAAGUCACUGUACUAAAAUUGCUAAACUUUGAAUUAAGGCCCUAUUCUAGAAAGGGUCUAGGGAAUUCUAGCUUUAUCUACACCAUUUCUUUACAUAGGAAUACCCAAACUACCCUUCAUUCAAUCCUAACACUACUGCAUUAGCCUAACUAAAUUCUAGCCCCUUUUAUCCUAAUUAUGCACUAUCAACUAUAACCAAAUCAACUAACAUUAAUGGCGAUCCUAACAAUUGAACCCAAGUAAUCCAGGCUGAAACUAAUACUAACUAAAUCAAAAUUAAAAGAUCCAAUCAAAUGAACUAGUUAAAUACUAAAUCAAAACAAUAACUAAACUAUUAAGAAAAUCAUGAGAAUAAAUUCGAACAUGAACAAAACUAAACUAACAGAAUUAAUAAUAGGAAUGAAUUCACACUAAGAAAAUCAUGAGAAUAAACUCGAACAUGAACAAAACUAAACUAACAGAAUAAAUAAUAGGAAUGAAUUCACACCAACAUUUAUACUAACCACAAUGAGAAAGAAAAUAUGGGGAAUAUCUACUAAUAAUCAAAGAAUUAAAGUAAAUCAUAUUCUUAACUAAAACAGACUAAGAUGAAUCAGGAAACAACAUCACCAUGAAAUCAGAACAUAACUUAAACUAAGAUAAGAUAUCAUAAAAACAGGAUCAAGAAAGAAAAACAAACAUAAGAAAGAUUCAAUCAUGAACAUUGGAUUUGGAUCACAUAAAUGUGCACCCGAGUUUAAGAAGGUAAUAUUAUUAAAUGACGGGCCUAAAACGACUAGCGUAUUAUUAACUUUACGGGAGGGCGUGAAAUUCGCUAAACGACACGUCUCGAAUUCUAAACAUUUUUAAUUUGAUUAAGAGGGCCACGCAAUAUAUGAUUUUUAUUUAGCACGACAUACCUAAUUUUAUUUUAAAGGGUAACCUAGAGCAACUACAAAUUUGUAUUAUGUAUUGUCUCUAAAAAUAAAGGAAAAGGCCCCAAUUAAUUGGUAAAUAAAUGCAUCAUUGCAAAAAUAUUCAAUCUAAUUUCAUGUUCAGAUCACGUCUAACUGAUUGGUGUUCAAAAAUAUUUAAACUAAAUCAACAUGACGAGAAUUAAUUGAUCUCAAAUUUAGAUUCAAAUUCAUUAUACUUCCCGUUUUAAACGUUAAACUAAUAUAAGAAAAAAAAUAGGUAUACUAAAGCUAAUGUUUAACUGGAUAACCGCAGCCAAACACUCCACAGUCUGAUAUAGUUCAAAUUAAUUACAAUGAAGAUCUCACUAACUGAAAACACUAUCCAUUCCAGAACAGUACUAAUCACGUCAAACAAAUCUAGGUAUACAUUCAGAUGCAAUGAAGGAUGAAUACAUCAAUAUAAAUAGAGUGUAUUUAGAUUAAAUGAAUCUGAAACUAUCACGUUUCUAUUCAUCUUCAUUUCAAAUCAACAAUAGUACAACGAAAUAGGAGCAAAUACCUGGAAGUUAGAAUGCAAACAGAAGAAGAAGAAGAGAUCAGCAACAAUUAACAAAACUAGAAUCCAGUCACAAAUCAGUUAACAAAACUGGAAUCCAGCAGUCACAAAUCAGCAACAACACAAUAAUUUUUUGAACCAAAACAGCUUCACAAAACCCAAAACCACUCUACAGAGGUACAACACCAAAAAACUUGAAAAUAUAUGCCUCUGUUCUACGGGCGGGCUCCCGACUUUGAAACUUGAAAAUAUAUGCCUCUGUUCUACAGGUGGGCUCCAAAUUUCAAUUCUUGAAAAAUAUAUUCCUAUGUUAUACGGGCGGGUUCCCGACUUCAAAACUUGAAAAUAAAUGUAUCUGUUCUUACGGGCCUCCCGACUUCAAAACUUGAAAAUAAAUGUCUUUGUUCUUAUGUGCGCUCCCGACUUUAAAACUUGAAAAUAAAUGCCUCUGUUCUGACAUGCGGGCUCCCAACUUUAAAACUUGAAAAUAAAUGCCUAUGUUCUUAUGGGCGGGCUUCCGACUGCAAAACUUGAAAAUAAAUGCCUCUGUUCUUACGAGCGGGCUUCCGACUGCAAAACUUGAAAAUAAAUGCCUAUGUUCUUACGAGCGGGCUCCUGAUUUUAAAACUUGAAUUGUAUGCCUCUGUUCUCCAGACGGACUCUUGAUUUCAAUAAAACAGACAAAAAAAAAUCUACCCCAGUUUGGGAGCUGGUAAGUGGGUGAGUGUUAACUGAAUCAUUAUACCAAGUGGUACUAAAAAUCUAAGCUAAAUCCUAUUAUCCAGGUAGGUCCUGUCAACUCCUAAUUGAAUCUUAUCCUAAACAUGCAAACUUUGACACCAACUUAUAUUCCCCUAUAUUGUCCAUGAUUAUCUUGUAUUUUGAUCAAUCCCCACUUUUACUGUCAAACCUGAUUAAUGCUUGUUUUCCCCUUACGGAGAGUUCCUCCAAAACAACUGAAUUUUUCUGUCCCUGUUUCAAUCAAAGAAAAUUUUAUUAGUUUAAAAAGGUGGUUAGUCGAUGGCGUUCUUGCUGAAAAUCCUUCCAUUUUAUUGUUUUGUUUUAACCGGCUUCCCUGAACUGGCCCUGAAUCGCUUGACUUUCUGACUGACUUUCGAACCAAAUGAUCUUUGACAAACCAAAUGUUCUGUACUCAUGCUGUUGUUUCACCUCUCACCCCUUUAUCUGAACCUUUGCAUUUUCCAUGACAUUACCAAAUCAUUCCACCGAUGAAACUUUCGGUGACUCCUUGUUUCCCACUUUACAUCAUGCUGUCUUUAGUAUGUUCUAACCACGCUAUGCUUUGCAAUUUUAAAAACUAGUAGUGAGCUUUGAAUCCCUUUCACUUACUUUGAACAAGACUGAUAUUUGGAACACUUUAGAUAGAUAAACCCCCAAAAGAAAAUAAAACGCAAUGAUUUUACGAGUUAACGAUAAGAAGAAUCCAAAACCAGAUGACUACUAAAAGGGGAAAAAGAAAAAAGAAGUUAUCUGAGUGGAACAACUGACACCAAUGAUCAUGACAUGUAUUUCAAAUUAAUCGGUCCAAUCUGUCCAACCAACAACUUUCAGUUGCUAUACUCUGUUGCCCCAGAAUUUCCACGACCUGAUUGCUUUACCCAAACCUCGACCUUGCUCAUCCUGCGGUGCCCUUAAAUAGUUUUCCACCAACAGACCUCUCUCAUUUGUUCCCCUUUUGACUCACUUUCGCCUCAAGUUGCCCAUCAGAGUUUUCACCAAUAAGACUCUCUCAUUUUAAUUUCUCUAGACUCAUGUCGCCUUACGAUGCCUGCAAAUAUUUUCACCAAUAAGGCUCUCUCAUUUUAUUUCUCUCAGCUCCCGUCGCCUUACGGUGCCCGUGAGAUUUUUCAUCAAUAAGACACUCUCAUUUUGAUUUUUCCUGAUUGGACAAUAGUGUUGCCCCAGAAAUGAAUUACCUGUACCUGCUUAACUUGGCAUUUCUCAAAGACUGAUAAGAAGGUUUUUCUUUGGACCGUAAUUUGGGCUUUGGAUAGGAUUGAAAAAAGUGUAUAGAAGGAUCAAAACAAUUCAAAGUAGGUUAGAAAUUACAACUUUCAGAAUCAGAUCUUUAACAAUAACCAUAACUUCAACCCCAGUUUCUUGCUUGGGGACUUUUGAAUUUUUAUUUUGGUAUGACUGAACCUCAGAGAGAGGCUGCCUACGUACCUUUUCGGGAUCAAGUCAAACGUAGUUCACACCAUAGAAACUACGUUGUUGUGAUUUUCUUUCUCUUCUUUUCUUUUCUGUUUUUCUGUUUCUUCUUUUCUUUUCUUCACUUUUCAUUUUUCUUAUUCUUUUCUUUUCUUUUUCUUCUUUCUAUUUGUCUUCACUUGCUUAUCUUCCGCACUUGCAUUUUUGAAUUAUGUCGUUGAUUCCAAAAGAGGGUUAUGAAAGAAAAUAAACAAUGCUUAAAAGGGAUGACAAGGGAUAAGUUUUUAGAUAGCAGAAUAAAAGGCCUUCGUCAUUUCAAUCUUCAAAAUAUGCCAAAUACAAACAAUUACAAUCAAAAUAAAGAAAUCAUACAUAGUAUCUCUUGACUGCAUCGAAAUUGGUAGCCAUUUCUACACAUUUUUCUUCCACAUCUGUUUAGAUAAAGUGCACCAUUAGACAUAACUCUUGUUACAACAAAUGGCGCCUACCAGUUUUGGGGAGAACGUUCCUUUUGCUUCAGUCCAAUGAGGCAAAAUAGGUCCGCAUCAGAAUUGCUAUCCAUUUCUACGCAUUUUCCUUCCACAUCUAUCAAAUAUAGUGCAAAAAAUGGCCCCUGCCAGUUUGGGGUGAACUUUCGUUUUGCUUCAGCCCAAUGAGGCAAAAUACGUCUUAGCACUAACUGUCCCACUUCAAAAUUCCUCAGGCGCACCUUCUUGUUGUACGCUCUUGCCAUUCUUUGUUGGUACAAUGGGCCAUGACACACUGAUGCCAAUCUCUUCUCAUCGAUCAGACUUAAAUGUUCCAAAUGGGUUUUCACCCAUUCGUCAUCAUCGAUCACAGCCUCCGCGAUAAUUCGAAGGGACGGGAUUUCCACUUCUGUAGGUAUCACUGCUUCGGUUCCAUACACUAAAGAAUAAGGAGUCGCGCCUACUGAAGUACGAACAGUGGUGCGGUACCCCAAUAGUGUAAAAGGCAGCUUCUCAUGUCAUUGUCUAGAACCUUCCACCAUUUUUCGAAGUAUCUUCUUUAUAUUUUUGUUGGCCGCUUCAACCGCACCAUUUGCCUUAGGGCGGUAUGGGAUAGAGUUGCGAUGGGUGAUCUUGAACUGCUCACAUGUAUCUUUCAUCAAAUGACUAUUGAGUGUAUCUCCAUUGUCUGUAAUGAUCACCUUUGGUAUCCCAAACCAACAAAUAAUGAUUGAAUGCACAAAAUCCAUCACAGCUUUCUUGGUUACUGACUUGAACGUUUUAGCCUCUACCCACUUAGUAAAAUAAUCUAUAGCCACCAAAAUGAACCUAUACCCAUUUGACGCUGUUGGCUCGAUUGGCCCAAUGACAUCCAUGCCCCAUGCAACAAACGUCCAUGGUACGGAUAUCGUGUGUAAUUUUGAGGGUGCAGAAUGAAUCAAAUCUCCAUGCACUUGGCACUGAUGACAUUUACAUACGUAACUGAUGCAAUCCCGCUCCACAGUAAGCCAAUAGUACCCUGCUCGGAGAACCUUCUUUGCCAAAAUGUACCCAGUCAUUUGAGGUCAACAAACUCCACAAUGUACCUCAGUCAUGAUAGUUAUGGCCUGCCUCGCAUAGAUGCAUCUUAACAACCCAAGAUCUAGAGUUCUUUUGUACAACACUCUUCCACUAAGGAAAAACCCGCUUGCCAACCGUCGAAUUGUUCUUUUCUGAUCAUAUGUGGCAUGUAUUGGUACACCCCCAUCUAAUAUAUUCUUUGAUUUCAUGAAACCAGGGCUCACCGUCAAGUUCUUCUUCCACCGCGUUACAGUAAGCAUGCUGAUCGCGGACCUGAAUCUUCAAAGGGUCCACAUAAGCAUUACCAGCAUGAUGCAAAAUUGAUGCCAAAGUAGCCAAUGCAUCGGAAACCUCAUUAUGAAUCCUUGAAAUGUGCCUGAAUUCUAUUGAUUGAACCAUUGACAAAGAUCAUGCAAACACUGCCGGUAUUGUAUAAGCUUCAAGUCCCGUGUUUCCCAUUCUCCUUGAAUUUGGUGUACUAGUAGGUCCGAGUCACCCAUGACCAAGACUUCCUGGACACCCAUAUCUACAGCUAACCUUAGACCCAAGAUACACGCCUCAUAUUCUGCCAUGUUGUUUGUACAAUAGAAACGAAGCUGAGCCAUAAAAGGGUAGUGCUGCCCUAUUUUAGAAAUAAGUACCGCUCAUAUCCCCACACCUUUCAUGUUUACUGCUCCAUCAAAGAAAAGUUUCCACCCUGGCUUCUCAACUUGUUCCAACUCCUCAAUGUGCAUCACCUCUUCAUCAGGGAAAUAAGUCUUCAGAGGUUCAUAAUCCUCAUCAACUGUAUUCUCGGCCAAAUGAUCUGCCAAGGCAUGUGCUUUCAUCGCAGUCCGAGUCACGUAGACAUUGUCGAACUAUGUAAGCAGGAUUUUCCACUUUGAAAGCCUCCAUGUGGGCAUAGGCUUCUGAAAAAUUAUACUUCAAUGGAUCCAAGCGAGAUAUGAGGUAAGUAGUAUAAGAUGACAAGUAAUGUUUUAGCUUUUGCGCCACCCAAGUUAAGGCGCAAAAUGUCCUCUUAAGAUAAGAAUACUUAACCUCGUAAGAUGUGAACUUCUUGAUGAGAUGAUAGAUAGCCUGCUCCUUUCUGCCAGCAACAUCAUGCUUCCCCAGUACACAGCCAAAUGAAUUAUUCAAAAUCGUCAAAUAUUGAAUUAAAGGCCUCCCGGUUCUGGCAGGACCAACACAGGUGGGUUCGAAAAAUACCCCUUUAUCUUAUCAAAAGCCUCGUGACAUUCAUCCAUCCACUUGACUGCAGAAUCUUUGUUCAACAGUUUGAAGAUCAGCUCACAAGUUGUCGUGAUCUGAGCAAUGAACAUGCUGAUAUAAUUCAAUCUCCCUAACAAACUCAUCACCUCAGUUUUAUUCCUCAGAGGUGGCAAUUCCUGGAUAGCCUUGAUCUUCAACGGGUCUAAUUCAAUACCCCGACGGCUGACUAUUAAUACUAGCAACUUCCCAGAGGGCACCCCAAAAGCGCACUUUACAGGAUUGAGUUUGAGAUUUUACCUGCGAAGCCUUUGGAAUAACUUCCUCAGAUCCCUGACAUGGUCAGACUACUUUCUAGACUUCACGAUCACCUCAUCUACAUAUACCUCAAUUUCCUUAUGUAUCAUAUCAUGAAAUAUUGUCGUCAUUGCCCUCAUAUAAGUUACCCCAGCAUUUUUCAAACCAAACGACAUGACCCGAUAACAGUAUGUUCCCUAAGGCAUGAUGAAGUCUUUUCUACAACUUCCUCAUCCAUUAAGAUCUGAUGCUAACUAACGUAACAAUCCACAAAAGAACCAAUCUCAUGUUUGGCACAAUUAUCAAUCAAUAUGUGGAUGUUUGGCAAUGGAAAAUUGAAUUUUAGACUCGCGUCGUUAAGAUCUCGAUAUUCAACACACACACUGGAAUUGACAUCCUUCUUCGGCACAGGCACAGUAUUGGCUAAUCAGGUAGGAUACCGUGUGACCCGAAUGACUUUCGCAUCGAACUGCUUGGUGAUCUCUUCUUUGAUCUUUACACUUAUAUCCGUUUUGAACUUUCUCAGCUUCUGCUUGACAGGAAGGAGUGCCGGAUCAGUGGGCAAUUUGUAAACCACUAAAUCAGUACUUAGACCCAGCAUAUUCCUCAUACUACCAUGCAAAAAUAUCCUUGUACUCAAACAAUGCCUUUCUUAGCUUCUACUUAACAGGAGGGAGUGUCGGGUCAGUGGGCAAUUUGUGAACCACUAAAUUAGUGCUUAAACCUGGCAUGUCAUCAUAUGACCAUGCAAAAAUAUCUUUGUGUUCAAACAGUUCUUUGAUUAUCUCCUCCAUGAGUGAGGUCUAGAUGAACACUUAUCUUAGUUUCACGGAGAUUAUCUUGGUCCCCUAGAUUAGCUACUUCGUGUCAUUUUGGUUAGGUUUGGGUUUUUCCUCAAAGUGACUUAAUUCCUUACUAAUUUCUUCAUAGGUCUCGUCGUCAUCAUACUCCAACUCAUCGUCACACUCAAUUUCUUGUAUUAUUAUUUUCGAAUUAGAUUGGCUUUAAAAUUGGACCGAAAAUUCCUCAUGCAUGUCAUGUCAUUGAUAUCAGCAUAAAAAGAACAAUAUAGAGAAGAAAAUAAAAUGAAAACAAAAUUAGGAAUGAGGAAAGAAAGACAAUUGCAUUUCAUUGAAUAUAAAGAUAACAUGGCUUAACACAUCCAAUUGGACUGAAUAUAGUAUCUGAAUUACAAAACCUGGAAUAAUCCAGACAACAAAAGAAAAUCAAAAUCCUACUACCAAGACUCCCUCCGAGUAGGAAGAGGAGUAGCUUCCCAGUUGUUGACUUUUGCACGUGGUCCGAUGAACUGCACAUUUUCCUUACUUGACCCUUCCCCAGCCUCAACCAUGUUAACCUCAGUGAACACCCCUUUCAAACCCUUUGUCCAAGUCUCCAUCUCCUUGCUUGACCCUUCCCCGGCCUCAACCAUGUUAACCUUAGCGAAUACCCUUUCAAACCCUUUAUCCAAGUCUACAUCAGCACCAAUCAAUGACCCAGAAACUUUUGUCAACAGUUGCUUUUGGACACCCGGCCUAAUGAAAGGUCUGGACAGACGCGGGAUUGGCUUGGGAAGGACCCAUGACCUCUUCUUCAUUUUGUGGUCCCGCCUUACAUUCGCAGUAGUGGGCUUGAACCCCAAUCCAAAAUUAUCCAGAUUCUUUGGAAGAAAGAUUGGUUGUACAAUACCCUGAAGAUCAGCACCCAAACCUUUGCCAGGUAUGAACCCGUUCUUUAAGUCUCUGAAGCCAACAUGACAGUUGCAGUUGUUAUUCUAGGAACUGGGAUGCUUUUCCCCUCGGGUACCUUUUCCACUGGGACGGUGUCAAAGACUUGGUAAACCCACGUCCCCUUGUCAUCAUCAGCUUCUAUGAAAGGCACAAUGGCAUCACUUAAGGCGCACAUAUUGUCUUCACCGUGCACUACAAUCUCCUGUCUGUCCCAUUCGAACAUGACCAUUUGAUGCAAUGUAGAAGGCACCGACUUGGCGGCGUGGAUCUAUGGUACCCAGCAAGAGGCUACAAGAGACCGCCAUGACUAGUACCUGGAAUUCCAUAGUAAACUCCACUGGCCCAAUUGUCAGUUCUAGUACUAUGUCACCCACUGUGUCUUUACCCCCACCAUCAAACCCUCGAACACAAAUACUGUUCUUAUGAACUCUGUCGUUAUCAACCUUCAGCUUGUUCAACGUGUACAAAGGACAUAUGUUUGCACUGGACCCAUUGUAAACCAACACUCAAGUGACAACUGAAUCCUCACACUUUGCGGUCAGAUAAGGAGCUAUGUAAUGUUCUAUGCCUUCCACGGGCAACUCAUCAUCAGAGAAAGUCACUCUAUUCACCUCAAAUAUCUUGUUCGCUAUCUUCUCAAAAUGAUUCACUGAAAUCUUAUCGGGAACAUGAGCCUCAUUCAGUAUUUUUAUUAGUGCCCUGUGAUGCUCGUCUGAGUGGAUAAGCAGUGAAAGCAAUGAAAUCUGGGCCGGUGUCUUCCUUAACUGUUCAACAAUAGAUUAAUCUUGUGCCUUUAUCUUUUUCAAGAAUUCUUCUGCCUCCUAUUGUAUCAAGAUUUUCUUAACCAGUACUGGGUUAUCUUUGGGGACCUUGGCUUUUUUUAACUCCUCGGGGUCAAAGCACCACCCCGAACGAGUUAGACCUUGCGCCUCACAAACUUCUUCUUUGAUUUCCUUCCUCUUGUAUGUCACCUCCACCUGUUUAUAACUCCAAAGAAUGGCUUUGUUGUUAGUCACUGGCAACUGAGUUACUGGCUUUAUGAUAACAGAUUCUAUAAGAGCUCCAUUCACAAUCAACACAGGUUUGUUUGCUACCACUUGCACCAUCACUUUGACCGGCUCUGGUUUUAUUGCAGCAAUGCUUGAUGACCUACUCUUGGCUACCACAACUGGCUUGCUGUCCGUCCCUUUCAACUGAACAAUUUUCUUCCCACUGGUUGGUUUUUCCUUUGAGCUGGUUUCACUAGCACGGAUCAUCAUUAAUGUUUUUGAGGGUUUCUUGUUCUCCCCUCCCUUGUGUACCAAUUCAAUCAUGUGGGCUUCGUGAUGAGCCGACAACGGAUUCUGGUUAAUGUUUGGUGCCUCCGGGGCCUGAACCUCGAUCCGAUGAGUCUCAAUGAGCUCUUGUUUAGCAGUCUUCAGCUUCCAACACUUCUCUGUAUCAUGUUCGAGAGUGCCUAAAUAGUACUCACAGCUUACUGAAUAGUCCAAAUUUCUAGGAAGAGGUUUUGGGCUCAAUGGGAUUCAACAGGCCUAACUACCUCAAUUUGUGAAAAAUACUAGUAUAUGAUUCUCCCAAUAGAGUGAAAGUUUUUUAUUUUUGUAACCUCUCAUUUUUUAAGGCUAGAUUUGGUCGGUGACCCGUGCCGGGUGGGUUUCUAUAGGAUCUUGGGGUGGAUAUGUGUUUUGUGGAGCUGGGUAUGAGUUUUGUGGAGCCGGUGCACGCCAUUGUGCAUGAGCUGGAGGCUGGGUAUAAGUUUUAGCAUGGUGGUUGGAAACAUGUGGAUCUGGCAGUGGAUAAUAGUGUUGUGGAGGGAUAUAUAGAGUGUAGGGAUAUUUUGGGUGGUGGGGUCGGGGUUGGUAGUAGGGUGAAGGGCCUCUAGAUCUAGACCACGCUCCGGACUCAACAGUUGCAACCUCUUCUUUCUUCUUUUUCCCGAGCACGCCUCCAGAGCCGCUUUGGAUAGCCUGGGUUGUUGCUUUGAUCACUGAAUAACUCAUGGAUUUAUUGGUCUUAAGUCUUUCAUCGACCAUACUUCCCAUCUUCAAAACUUCAUUAAAAGAUUUUCCAAUUGUUGUUACCACAUGACCAAAGUAAGUCGGCUCCAAAGCCUGCAAAAAAUAGACAACCACCUCGCUUUCUUUCAUAGGAGGAUCGACCCUCACAACCUGUUCUUUCCAGCAGAAACCAUAUUCCCUGAAACAUUCCUUAGACUUCUUCUCAAGUUUUUUUUAUCAAUGACAGGCGAUCUGGAAUAAUUUCUAGAUUGUACUGAAAAUGGCAGGCGAAUGAUUGUGCCAGGUCAUCCCAAGUAUACCACCUCUCAUGGUCCUGUCGUGUAUACCACUCCAAAGCAGACCCACUCAGACUCAGGCUAAAGUACGCCAUCACUAACUCAUAUUUCCCACCGGCCCCUCUCAUUUUGCUGUAGAAUCCCCUCAGGUGGGCUACUGGGUCACCAUGCUCAUCAUACAGAUCGAACAUUGGCAUUUUGAACCCUACUGGUAACUGAACAUCUGGGAAUAGACACAAAUCCUUAUAGGCCACACUGACUUGGCCACCCAACCCUUGCAUGUUCCUGAAGAAUUGCUCCAGGCUUUUUACUUUUAGAAUCAUCUCUUCCUGCUCCAGGUUCUUAAGCGGCUUUUUAGUUUCCACCGAGAGCUCAAAGUGAGGGGUGUAAGAAUAUGGCUCAGGAACUUUAAAGGUUGGCUCAUGAGGAUAGUAUUGCCUUUCAUGGGCCCGUAAAUAGUGGCUCACUGGAAGAUCUUUCCAGUGUGGCAGGUAGAGGCGCCACAAAGACAUGGGUGAUUGGUGGAGGAGGGUUUUGUUUGGGUGGUGGAGCUUGGGGAGGGCAUGAGGUGGUUCCAUAGCUCUGUUGGUAGAAAGGAAAAUCUGGAGAUGAGUUCACAGUAGGAGGCUCCUGAGAUUGAGCCAAAGGUGGGAUGUAAGCUUCAUUGGCGGGAUAAACUGGCGCCAGCUGACCCUUAGACCUAGCCCGAUGCAUUUCAGCCAUUUGUUGCCUAAACUUAUACAUUUAUUCCCUCGUUGAAUUAACAUCCAUCACCUCUACCUCUUUUUUCGAGUCCACAAUACCUGUAUCGAAUCCUGGCCUAUCAUUUCCAGCUUGUCUUUCGAUCGGGUGUUGUAGGAAUGGGUUGCUAGAAUGCCAAACAACUAACCACCUGCCUGGACUCAAGAUCAACAACAACUUGGUUAAUGGUUAGGGCCGUAACAGAUUGGAUAACCGCACGUUUGGGGAAUGAAUGCACCUAAGCAGUUAACGAAUUUUAUUAUGCAUUUGCUCGACUGCUUGCAUCAUCCCGACUUUUAUUUCCAAUGGAAACUUUCUUUCUUUCUUUUUUUCUUGUUUUUCCUUUCUUUUCUCUGUUUCCUUUUCAAUUCUUGCCUUUGUUUUUUGUUUCGGUUCUCUCGUUCCCUCAAUUUCUUAUUUUCACUCUUUUCUUUCUUGUUUUUCUGCUCUUUUUCUUUUUUCUUCUUUUUCACUCUCUUGUUUUCUUCUUGUUUUUAUUUUCCUUUUCAUUUGGUUAUAGUGGAAUCCUAGGAAUAUUGCCUACGUAUCAUGACCCCGCAUGAAUCAUACCGGGCGUAGUUCAUGAAAAUAAAAUGCAAGAUGGAAGAAAAAAUGUGUCUUUGGAAUUUUCAAUUUUAUUGAUAGCAAAUACUUCGAUUACAAAGACUUGAAGCUGACAGAAUCUGAUGAAAAGAAAAACUACAGACUCCAACGCGAACUAUUCUAUUUCGAAAGAAAAUACAGACUCAUUCAACCGACAGACUCGUGGCGAAAGAAAAUACAGACUCAACAACUAACAAACUCUAGUAGAAAAGGAAAUACAUACUCAAAUGACAAUCAGGAAUACAUUAAAGCUCCUAGUACCCGCGAGACAUCAUUCGGUCUCGCCGCGGGCCUAUAUGCAAGUUCCCUCUGAAUUUUGUCCAAGUCACUCAUUAUCUGCUUCACAAAUAUCAUCACUAAUGCAAAGAAAGUGGUGCUAGUCAUGUCUUCGCACGGCAUUUCCGAGUAAUAUAAAGAUCAAUAGUUAAGGUUCUCUCUCGGAUCAUGCCUUUUUCUUGAAGUAACCCGCCUAUCUGUUGGGGCCGAUUCUCCAAACUCUGCUCAGCUACCUAGUUUUGUUCCUAGAGUAAUUGCAAGUCCAUUUCCAAUCCUGCCAAUGCCGUGUAGCAAUGCUCUCUUUCAAUCUUAAACUCUUUCGCAUGUUUGGUCAUUUUGUUUUAUGUGGCGAUGACCCUUUUGUUUAACCCCGUGACCUCAUUAUCAUGCUCUUCUUUCAGCUGCUUAACCAUGCGGGCCUGUUCUUCUGCAUUUUUAACCAACUAUUUGCGAACCCGGUUGCUAAUUCCUUUUCUACUUUGUUAAGGUCAAAACUGUAAUUAUUCACUUUUUGCCUUAGAUUUUCUAUAAGUUUUGUAUCCUUGGCACUCCUAACGGGGUUUUCGGCCGUUAUCUUCAUCUUUUGAAUCUGGGCUCAUAAGGCUUCAUUCUCUUGGGCCAAUUUCUUCUUAUCACCCUUUAUGGGCUGAAGCUUGAACACUAUUUUCAAACUGAAGGACUUCGACCCCCCUUUCCAAAUCUCCGAUUUUGGCCAUGUAUUCAUUUUCUUUAUCUAACCAGGCUCAUUGUUCUUAUGAUGACUCGGAAAAGUUCUGGAGGUGAGGUCUUUUGGCUGGCCUGCCGAAUGCAACUUCCUUUUGAUACCAAGCAUGAUACACAUGCAAAACUUCUCCUCUAGAUCAGUCCCGCACACAGGUGUUCACUGCCAAAUACCGACAUUCACUCCAGAUCUGACGGACCUUUGCUUCAGGAAAUUGGCCGUAAGGACCAAUCUCAAACACUUGGACACUAAGAUCGUCAUCAUUUGGCACCACUUGACAUCUCCCGAGUUGACUUAAAACCCGAUAUGGAGCAUAAGGAUGCAUUCUUUUAAGACCCAUCAAGAGGAAGUGCGGCCUUGCUGCUGGCAUAUAUAUAACGUCCACUCUAUUUGAAUGGCAGUGAUGGACCUAAAGCAUGAUGUCCAUCGCGUGACUCCUUCAGGAAAGCUGACCCCCUCAAUCCUCGUAUAAAACUUUUCUGUACUGGUUUUCUCCGUAGAACCAUAACUCAAGAACUGAGGGCGAUGGCACAGGUGUUCGGUCAUCCACAUUUGCAACAAGAGAUUGCACCCCUCAAAGAAGUCCCCUCCGGCUUUGCAGACUUUAAAGCGCGGAAGAUAUCGACUACUAUCAUAGGCGCCAGAGUGCUUUUGGCUUGAGUCAUUAAAGUAUUGACGAACCCAACUAUUUUUAUGUCAAUGUUUCCAUCUUUCCUCGGGAAUACCAUGAGACCCAAAAAGACCACCACAAAAGCAAAACGGCUAUGCUCUUCCCAUUUUUGCCGAUUUUCUUUGCUACAUAUCUUGCUUGCCGGGUUAUUGAGUCCUCCUAUAUGGCCAUAUCUGUUGAAUAAAAAGUGUAGAGUACAAAAGCCCUUUGCCAAAUCCCGAUUGUGGACCGUCAAGAUUAUCUUCUGUGAGUCUAAGAACCUAUGCACAACUACGGUUCUAAGGGCAAACCAAGUACUUGUGCCUUCACGGAACCUCAACACUUCCGAUGUAUCCAGCUAUUUCCUCUAGGGUCUGGGUGAGUUCAAAGUCUGAAAAAUGGAACACAUUGUGUGUCUAGUCCCAACAUGUGACAAAGUGCUCUGAUGAUUUCUCCCCGAGGCACAAUCUCCAACAAACCAGUAAGCCCUUUCAAAUACUUUUCGACCUCGUCUUGUCCUUCUUUACCCAGAUCGUUCCACCAUAGACGUAACUCCAGAGGGAUUUUAUUCAUGAUUGAGAAAGGUUCAUUUUGAAUCGUGCUCAUCCUGCACAUUUAUUAAGGUGAUUUAAUCACUUAUUUUGACCUAAAAGAAAAGAAAUGACACUAUUUUGUUCAAAUUUUCAACAUAAGACAAACAGCCGAUUUUACGGAUACGACCUUUCAGCACUUUGUGAAGAAAAUUUUAAGGUUGUGCUCGCUCCCCGUUGAAAAUUACCCAAGGUGGCUGUUUUUGCAAAAAUGGCCUUCUGGCGCCCCUGUAGGGACAUUUGACCUAUUUAUUGACAAGAAUGGCGUCACUGACCUAUUCACGACAAAAUUAAAAUUUUUUAUUAUUUUCGGCUAUUUUUGCAAUGGGGAGGUUGGACCGAUGAGUAUUGCCUACGUAUCUCACAUGGAAAAAUGACACUAUUUUUGUUCAAAUUUCCAAUUUAAAACAAACAGUCGGUUCUGCGGAUACGGCCUUUUAGCACUUCGUGAAGAAGAUAUUAAGGUUGUGCCCGCUAAACGUUGAAAAUGACCCAAUGUGGCUAUUCUUGCAAAAACGACCUUCCGGCGCCCUUGUAGGGACAUUCAGCUUAUUUUCAACAAGAAUGGCGUCACCUGAAUAUUUAUCACAAAAUUAAUUUUUUUUUUGUUUUUUUGGGUUAUUUUAGCGAAGGAGAUGUUGGACCCGAUAAGGGUUGCCUACGUAUAUCGCAUCCGAUGAGAAUUAAACAUGUGUAGUUCGGGCAAAUAAAACUAACUAUUUUUGAAAACAAGACUCUUUUUCGUUGACAAAUACACUAUUUCGAAAGACAAUACUCUUUUUAUAUUUUCUUUUUUAACAAACUAUUUGAAAAUAAAACUCUUUUGUUUUUUCUUUUUAUUGAGAAAUAAAACAAACCAUUUUUGAAAACAAAAUUUGUUUUUUCCUUUUCUUUUUUUUUAUUUUUCUCAAAAAUUCGGCAGAGUUUUGACACUAUUUUGACAUUGUUUUUUUUUCUAAAACAGGUAAUUAACUCUCUAUACUUCUAUUUCUCUUCCAUAUACUCCAAAUCCGGUCAGCAUGCAAGUCCGAGACAUAUAAAUGCACACGCAACACAUAAGAUGUAUCAGGAUGGUCUUUUUCAUUUCAGGUUACACGUCCUAGAUGGAUCCAAUCCCUGUGUUGAGUUCCCUACGGCAAAUGCCUGCAAAUAAGCGUUCCUACUAGAGAUCCGCCAUGAAGUCAAGUUAUUCUAGGUUCAAAACUUGGGUAUGUAUUUUAUACUGUGUACCCGAGCGGACAACUCGAGUCGAGGGGGAGGCUACUUACCGGGAACCAAAAGGCCAUUCGGCUUAGUAACUUGUCUGAGCAUGUUUCUUAUUUCAAGGUAUUACACUAACAUAAUAGGGAGUCUCAACAAGUAAACACAUCCCCGGAGGUGAAAAGAGAAGGGUUUCGGCACAGUUUAUAUACAAUUCAGAUAAUAUCAAAGCGGUAAAGCAUUUAACACAUUUAGCGUGAAGCAUGUAGGAAAAUCAGAUAAAGCCAAACAUAACAAUUAUUCUAAGCUCGAAUUCUUAAACCCUGAACUGAAGUUCUGGGUUUGCUUCCCCAGUAGAGUUGCCAUAGCUGUUACACCUCCUUUUUCCUAUACCUCAUAAGGGUGUAAAGGAGUUUUACUAAUUAAAAUACAAUCGAAACGUGAUUUAUUUAUUAAAUAUUCAGAGUCGCCACUUGGGAGAAUGGUGUUCCAAGUCACCGAUUGAAUCCCAAAUCGAGAAAAUUACUGACUCUGUUUAACAGUCCACGCACAAGAAAUCCGAGUAAGGAAUUAAUUUAACCUGGAAGAAGGUGUUAGGCAUUCCCAAGUUUCGUGGUUCUAGCAUGGCCGCUCAACUGUCAUAUUUGGCUAAAUAUUUCAUUUUAAAACAUGUUUUAACUUAUGUGCUUUUCAACUUUAAACCGUUUUUAUUACAAUUUUUAAAGAGAAUUGCAACGUUGUGAAAACACGCCUCGAAAUAUAUCACAUAAAUACACCCGCAAUUUUUGAUACAAUUUCGACUUCGUUGGGAUUUGGAUUUGGAUCACAUAAAUGUGCACCCGAGUUUAAGAAGGUAAUAUUAUUAAAUGACGGGCCUAAAACAACUCGCGUACUAUUAACUUUACGGGAGGGCGUGAAAUUCGCAAAACGACACGUCUCGAAUUCUAAACAUUUUUAAUUUGAUUAAGAGGGCCACGCAAUAUAUGAUUUUUAUUUAGCACGACAUACCUAAUUUUAUUUUAAAGGGUAACCUAGAGCAACUACAAAUUUGUAUUAUGUAUUGUCUCUAAAAAUAAAGGAAAAGGCCCCAAUUAAUUGGUAAAUAAAUGCAUCAUUGCAAAAAUAUUCAAGUAGGUAUUGAGUUUAAACAAAAGUAGCAUCAGUGAGACUUUCAACGUUUUGGACCUUCACACUGGCCCAAUAAGAAGCUAUCCCGUUAUGGGCUAUGGAUCAAUUGACCUGAGCCUUUUCGAAAGGCUGUCUGCUCAUGCCGAGACAGCGACGGGUUCUCUGCCCCUGCGGGGAAGGCCAAUCUCCGUCCGGCCCGAGGAAACCUUUGCACGCCUCCGUUACCUUUUGAGGCCUACGCCCCAUAAAAACUGUCUACCUGAGACUGUCCCUUUCCACCGGCGAAAAUCCUCUCCCCCCGAAUUAUUCGGAUUCCAUGGAUCGUCGGGGUAAAGUUGCUUCAUUGCGCAUUUACCGCUUUCGAAUUUUUGAAAUUGGAUUUAUGCUUUCGACUUAUUUCAUAUCAUGGUUCAGGCGUUAAAAAUCGGUGAGGUUAAUAACUUUGACUAAGCUUAAGCAAUUGGGCCCCAGGACUGGCAAGUCAUGGGCCUUAGCUCAAGCCCAAAGGAGGUGCAAAACGGCAUUGGCUUUGCACCAAAUAGAGAUUUCAACUUGAUUUUAAAAGCCAGCGAAAUUGUUCCAAUUUAUUCUAAUUAUAUUUAAUAGCUUCAUAAUAAAGAAAACAGUAUACAUCUACUCAGAUCAACAAGGUAUUGGCUGUUUUGAGUCUAAUUUCAUGUUCAGAUCACGUAUAAAUGAUUGGUUUUCAAAAAUAUUUAAACUGAAUCAACAUGACGAGAAUUUAUUGAUCUCAAAUUUAGAUUCAAAUUCAUUAUACUUCCCAUUUUAAACGUUAAACUAAUAUAAGCAAACAAACAAAGGUAUACUAAAGCUAAUGUUUAACUGGAUAACCGCAGCCAAACACUCCACAGUCUGAUAUAGUUCAAAUUAAUUACAAUGAAGAUCUCACUAACUGAAAACACUAUCCAUUCCAGAACAGUACUAAUCACGUCAAACAAAUCUAGGUAUACAUUCAGAUGCAAUGAAGGAUGAAUACAUCAAUAUAAAUAGAGUGUAUUUAGAUUAAAUGAAUCUGAAACUAUCACGUUUCUAUUCAUCUUCAUUUCAAAUCAACAAUAGUACAACGAAAUAGGAGCAAAUACCUGGAAGUUAGAAUGCAAACAGAAGAAGAAGAAGAGAUCAGCAACAAUUAACAAAACUAGAAUCCAGUCACAAAUCAGCAGCAACACAACAAUUGUAACAAAACUAGAAUCCAGCAGUCACAAAUCAGCAGCAACAGAACAAUUUUUUGAACCAAAACAGCUUCACAAAAUCCAGAACCACACUACAGAGGUAAAGCACAAAAAAAUGACCCAAAACAACUCGAUUGAACCCAAAACCCACUCGAAAUCAAACCCAGUGAUUCUCUGAAACUUCAGCAACCAGAAGAGAUGAGAAGCAAUGCCUAGAACUCAAAAUUAACCUAGAAAAUGCAAUCUAACAGUAUUUUUGGCUUUUCUACUGUAUUUUUGUUUGUUUUUUAAAUUUUUGGCAGAAAAAUAGAUCUAAAGGAAGGUUUGAACUAUAAGAGUUCAGAUUUUGAACUUCUUUGGAUAUGAAAUUCAAAUUUUGAGGCUCAGAUUUGCAGGAAUGGUUUUGGGGGGAAUUUUGGAGGCUGAAACUUGUGAAUUAAGGCAGAAUGUGCUGCCUUUUAUAGGCAAAGCUUAAAGAAAACUUUAGAUCUCAUUUUUUCCAUCUUAGGCCCUCUUUAUUAUUCAAUUUUACUAUUUAGUCCCUUAUUUUUGGACUUGUUACUCGAAAACUUCAGAUCUCAUUUUUUCCAUCUUAGGCCCUCUUUAUUAUUCAAUUUUACUAUUUAGUCCCUUAUUUUUGGACUUGUUACUCAAGUCACUAUAUUAAAAUUGCUAAACUUUGAAUUAAGGCCCUAUUCUAGAAGGGUCUAGGGAAUUCUAGCUUUAUCUACACCAUUCUUUACAUAGGAAUACCCAAACUACCCUUCAUUCAAUCCCAACACUACUGCAUUAGCCUAACUAAAUUCCAGCCCCUUUUAUCCUAAUUAUGCACUAUCAACUAUAACCAAAUCAACUAACAUUAAUGGCAAUCCUAACAAUUGAACCCAAGUAAUCCAGGCUGAAACUAAUACUAACUAAAUCAAAAUUAAAAGAUCCAAUCAAAUGAACUAGUUAAAUACUAAAUCAAAACAAUAACUAAACUAUUAAGAAAAUCAUGAGAAUAAAUUCGAACAUGAACAAAACUAAACUAACAGAAUUAAUAAUAGGAAUGAAUUCACACCAACAUUUAUACUAACCACAAUGAGAAAGAAAAUAUGGGGAAUAUCUACUAAUAAUCAAAGAAUUAAAGUAAAUCAUAUUCUUAACUAAAACAGACUAAGAUGAAUCAGGAAACAACAUCACCAUGAAAUCAGAACAUAACUUAAACUAAGAUAAGAUAUCAUAAAAACAGGAUCAAGAAAGAAAAACAAACAUAAGAAAGAUUCAAUCAUGAACAAAGUUUAAAUCAACAGAAUCAUAAAUCAAACCAGAUUAAACAAAAGAAAAAUUUAAACGAAGAAAAAUCAGAAAACUAGAAGAAUACUUACUGAUUUAUAACUAAUUUGCCCAUUCUCGAAUUUGGCUCCCAAAUAAUGUCAUGUGUUUGUUCUUGAUAAGAACAAACACAUACACCACCUUGGAACCAAUUCGAAACUCGUCCUUUCUUCAGAAACUCGAAGCAGACUUGAAAGAAACCUUAGAUUUGAAGGAAAUUGGUUUGGGAUUUGGGCAGAGGAUGGUAAGGAGAGUGUAGGGUGUGAAUUUGAACGGAUUUGGAUAAACUAGGGUUUUGGGUCCGAGUUUUCAAUCCAAGAUUCGAGACGACUGGCUGAGAUUUGAAAGAAACCGGCCAUGGAUAUGGAAAGUAUAUGAGAAGAGGGUCAUGGGGUGCAAAUUUGAGGUGGUUUGGAGCAUCGCCGCUGCCAUGGGCGAUUCUGGCGGUGGAAUGGGGUGGAGCCAGUGACGGAGACGGGAGGAGGCAGGGAGGUACGAGGAAGAUAAC